rnacentral:rRNA from 1 species
UACGGAGGGUGCAAGCGUUAUCCGGAUUCACUGGGUUUAAAGGGUGUGUAGGCGGGUAUUUAAGUCAGUGGUGAAAUCUCCGGGCUCAACCCGGAAACUGCCAUUGAUACUAUUUAUCUUGAAUCUUGUUGAGGUAGGCGGAAUACAUCAUGUAGCGGUGAAAUGCUUAGAUAUGAUGUAGAACACCGAUUGCGAAGGCAGCUUACUAAACAAGCAUUGACGCUGAGGCACGAAAGCGUGGGAUCAAACAGG